rnacentral:tRNA from 1 species
GGGGCUAUGGCGCAGCUGGUAGCGCGUCUCCAUGGCAUGGAGAAGGUCGGGGGUUCGAUUCCCCCUAGCUCCA